rnacentral:rRNA from 1 species
AGUGAACGCUGGCGGUAGGCCUAACACAUGCAAGUCGAACGGCAGCACAGUAAGAGCUUGCUCUUACGGGUGGCGAGUGGCGGACGGGUGAGGAAUACAUCGGAAUCUACUUUUUCGUGGGGGAUAACGUAGGGAAACUUACGCUAAUACCGCAUACGGCCUACGGGUGAAAGCAGGGGAUCUUCGGACCUUGCGCGAUUGAAUGAGCCGAUGUCGGAUUAGCUAGUUGGCGGGGUAAAGGCCCACCAAGGCGACGAUCCGUAGCUGGUCUGAGAGGAUGAUCAGCCACACUGGAACUGAGACACGGUCCAGACUCCUACGGGAGGCAGCAGUGGGGAAUAUUGGACAAUGGGCGCAAGCCUGAUCCAGCCAUACCGCGUGGGUGAAGAAGGCCUUCGGGUUGUAAAGCCCUUUUGUUGGGAAAGAAAAGCAGCAGGUUAAUACCCCGCUGUUCUGACGGUACCCAAAGAAGAAGCACCGGCUAACUUCGUG